rnacentral:rRNA from 1 species
AUGAACGCUAGCGACAGGCUUAACACAUGCAAGUCGAGGGGCAGCGGGGGUAGCAAUACCCGCCGGCGACCGGCGCACGGGUGAGUAACGCGUAUGCAACUUACCUAUCAGAGGGGGAUAACCCGGCGAAAGUCGGACUAAUACCGCAUGAAGCAGGGAUCCCGCAUGGGAAUAUUUGCUAAAGAUUCAUCGCUGAUAGAUAGGCAUGCGUUCCAUUAGGCAGUUGGCGGGGUAACGGCCCACCAAACCGACGAUGGAUAGGGGUUCUGAGAGGAAGGUCCCCCACAUUGGUACUGAGACACGGACCAAACUCCUACGGGAGGCAGCAGUGAGGAAUAUUGGUCAAUGGCCGAGAGGCUGAACCAGCCAAGUUGCGUGAGGGAUGAAGGUUCUAUGGAUCGUAAACCUCUUUUAUAAGGGAAUAAAGUGCGGGACGUGUCCCGUUUUGUAUGUACCUUAUGAAUAAGGAUCGGCUAACUCCGUGCCAGCAGCCGCGGUAAUACGGAGGAUCCGAGCGUUAUCCGGAUUUAUUGGGUUUAAAGGGUGCGUAGGCGGCCUUUUAAGUCAGCGGUGAAAGUCUGUGGCUCAACCAUAGAAUUGCCGUUGAAACUGGGGGGCUUGAGUAUGUUUGAGGCAGGCGGAAUGCGUGGUGUAGCGGUGAAAUGCAUAGAUAUCACGCAGAACCCCGAUUGCGAAGGCAGCCUGCCAAGCCAUGACUGACGCUGAUGCACGAAAGCGUGGGGAUCAAACAGGAUUAGAUACCCUGGUAGUCCACGCAGUAAACGAUGAUCACUAGCUGUUUGCGAUACACUGUAAGCGGCACAGCGAAAGCGUUAAGUGAUCCACCUGGGGAGUACGCCGGCAACGGUGAAACUCAAAGGAAUUGACGGGGGCCCGCACAAGCGGAGGAACAUGUGGUUUAAUUCGAUGAUACGCGAGGAACCUUACCCGGGUUUGAACGCAUUCGGACCGAGGUGGAAACACCUUUUCUAGCAAUAGCCGUUUGCGAGGUGCUGCAUGGUUGUCGUCAGCUCGUGCCGUGAGGUGUCGGCUUAAGUGCCAUAACGAGCGCAACCCUUGCCACUAGUUACUAACAGGUAAAGCUGAGGACUCUGGUGGGACUGCCAGCGUAAGCUGCGAGGAAGGCGGGGAUGACGUCAAAUCAGCACGGCCCUUACAUCCGGGGCGACACACGUGUUACAAUGGCGUGGACAAAGGGAAGCCACCUGGCGACAGGGAGCGAAUCCCCAAACCACGUCUCAGUUCGGAUCGGAGUCUGCAACCCGACUCCGUGAAGCUGGAUUCGCUAGUAAUCGCGCAUCAGCCAUGGCGCGGUGAAUACGUUCCCGGGCCUUGUACACACCGCCCGUCAAGCCAUGGGAGCCGGGGGUACCUGAAGUCCGUAACCGCGAGGAUCGGCCUAGGGUAAAACUGGUGACUGGGGCU